UGUCUCAAUCCUAAGAUGGCGUCCCUGAGAGAUGCCAUGGUAUUUGUGAUCUUAGCUAGCUGGUCAACAGUACCAUAUUAGGGGUCCAUAUCUCUACGAACUGAUGGCUGUCUUAUUUGACUGUACUGAUCUGAGCUUCUCACAAGUCUCCCUCCAACCUUGAUCCAAGCUUUAGAACCUAGGUCGUACUCUCAAUCAACAAUCCUGUAAUGAAAAGGAGGGUAUUAGCCCCUCGUGACUAUCAAACUUGAAAUCAAACCAUUAAUAUAAUCCUACAAAUAAAUCCUCCGAGGGAAUGAACUAUCAUGUGAUGCCAAUAGCUAAUCAAUACAUGGCCUCAUGUGCGGAGACGAAAUUUUGACAUGGCAAUAUCCUAAGGGUAAAGUAGCUUUAUAACCAAUGACAGACGAAAACAUGACCUAAAGACUAAAUGAUCACACCCAUAGGGGGUACGCAACCUAGGAUCAUAACCAACAAACAAAGUGACAUAUUGGCCACGUAUGUAUCCAAGAAAUCCAACUCAAGGCUAUAUAGAUCUUCAUUGCUCGAAUAUCCGUCAUCUCCAUAGUGCUCCCAAACAUCGAUAUAGCCCUUACACUAGACCCCACUCCAAGCCCCUAUCUUGGUCGAAGGCAAACAAUUGGGAAUGGUUCCCAUACAACUCAAGAAACCAAUGAGGAACAACUGACCAAGACUAGGAACCCAGAUGUAAGGAGAUACAUGUGCGCCCCACAAAGACAAACAACAAGCAGUCAUGCAAGAGAUAGUGAGUCAUGCAGCAAACAAUCAUGCGCAGAGAGCUGUCCUACCACAAAAUCUACACACAAACUAAUCAUCUAUGCUUAUCAUGAAUCACAAGAUUAAGCAUUACCAACAAUGGAUGAACAUGUUAUUACCAAUCAGCAGAACACUCAGGCAACAACAAAUCACAAGUGUGAACCAAAUACUAACCAAGUUAGUGAUCAUCAGUCAUCCAAGUGGCCCAAAAGUCCGCUAGUCAAUGAACCAUGUGCUCCAAUAUACCCAACUCAAGUUCAAGUUUGAUCCUUUUAUGAAACCAGAGAUUCUGGGUUCGAUCCCCAGUGGAGUCGCUGAUUUGUGGACCCUCCCCCGAUCCACCGACUGGUGCGACUUGCAAAUUAAAACAAAUAUCGUGGAUUUGGAGAAAAAGUGGUUUUCAAGUUUUAGAAAAUCCAUCCCGACGAGGGACGAUUUUUGUUUGGAGUUGCCACUUACUUUUUAUUUUUAUUUUUGAAAUGGGGAAAAUUAAGUAAGAACAAAAACCCCUUAAUGACUCCAGUUAGGAAAAAGCGGUCCGCGAAACUAGAUUUCAGGGUCCAGGGAUCAGGUUACCUAUAAGGAAGGUACCUCAUACGAGGUAGCACCCCUCUAGGCCCGGAAUUCGGUCUCUACUAGUGAAUUGGGUACAUUGGAGCAUACGGGUCGAAGAUCAGUCAACUUCUCUCUCGGGCUACUUGAAUGACAAGACUCGCAACUCUAAUUGGUAUUCGGCACACUCAUAAAUUAAUAACCUGAACAAAGUUGCGCACCUGAAGUUCCUAGUCGUGUUCUGCGAGAAAGGGUUAGUCAAUAAGCACAAGAACACAAUAUAUGCAAAUUCUAAAUUUACUAAAAUUCCUAGCCAUGACCAAACCAUAUGUAUGUAAUCUCUAGGCUCUACCCAAUGGCCAUUAAGUGCAACCAUGACUCUGGACUAUGUGGCUAAAACUUAGCCACUCCCAUUCCACUGAUUCUCUACUAAGGCCUGACAUCUUUCCAGUUUGAACUUCAUCCCCUAACAACUGGAAUUUUGGAAACUUUCGAAACUUUUGGAAAUUGACAUUAGAAGAAUAAAUCCGAAAUCUUUGAAACUUUUGGAAAUUAAUGGAAAUUGAUACUAAAAAAAAUAAAUUUGGAAUUUUUGAAACUUUUGGAAAUUAUUGGAAAUUGAUACUAAAAAAUUAAAUCUGGAAUUUUCGUAACUUUAUGAAAUUAUUGGAAAUUGAUACUAAAAAUUAAAUCUAGAAUUUUGGAAAUUAUUGGAAAUUGAUACUAAAAAAUUAAAUAUAGAAUUUUCGAAAAUUUUGGAAAUUGACACUAGAAAAAUAAAUCCGGACUUUUCGAAACUUUUGGAAAUUAUUGAAAAUUGACACUAAAAAAUUAAAUCUGGAAUUUUUGAAACUUUUGGAAAUUGACACUAGAAAAAUAAAUCCGGAUUUUUCGAAACUUUUGGAAAUUAUUAGAAAUUGACACUGAAAAAAUUAAAUUUGGAAUUUUCGAAACUUUUGGAAAUGAUUGGAAAUUGAUACUAAAAAAUUAAAUCUAGAAUUUUCGAAACUUUUGGAAAUUAUUGGAAAUUGAUACUAAAAAAUUUAAAUAUGGAAUUUUCGAAACUUUUUAAAUUCACUGGAAAUUGACGCUAAAAAAUUAAAUUUGGAAUUUUCGAAACUUUUGAAAUUCUUGGAAAAUGACAGUAAAAAAAAAAGUAAAAAAAAAAUCCGGACUUUUGCAAAUUUUUGGAGACUUUGGCAUACGAGAAUUUAAAAAAAAAAUGAAUCCGGAAUUUUGCGAAUUUUUUGAAAUUUGGGGUACAAGAAUUUAAAAAAAAUGAAUUCGGAAUUUUGAGAGAAAUGGAAUUUUGGGAAAAUUAAUUUGAAGUUAGUAUUUUAAAAAAAAAACUGGAUGUAGAAUUAUGCAAGUUUUGGGAAUUUAAGAAUGGUGUUUUCUUUUUUCUUUUCUUUUUUUUUAAAAAAAAUAAGUUUUGAGGACUAUUCAAAGUUUGAAAAUCAUAAAAAAAGAAAAGAAAAAGAAAACUAAAUUAUAUAAUACUAUCUAAAGUUUGUAUUUUUUACAGCCGACCAUAAUUCUUUUCCAUUUUAUUUAUUUUUUAUUUAUUCAAUAAACAUCCCAACUACCAAUAACAUGUUCCAUAGCCGGCUGCACCUCACUCAUUGUUUUUUUUUUUUUUUUUUAUCCCAUCCAAACCCACCUCCACUAAUCUUUAAGUCUCCACGAACACUCGCAAGAAACUUUACAUUCGAUCCCAUUAAAGCCGGCCAUGAUCCUAUUUCAUUUCAUUUAACAAAUAAAUAAAAAAUAAAACAUGUCAAUGGCAUCAUUCACAUCAGGACUGACCAUAUAUUCACAUUCAUUUGCAUUUUAAAUCUACCAAAACAAAGUAAAAAAAUACUAACCUUACUGAGAGAAUGGUGCAGUCGGCUGUAGGUCCUUCCUCCUUUCAAUGGUGUGGCUAUGGUGUCUCCGAUGAGAGAAGCUGGACCCAAGAUCGUCUCCGAACCCCCACUUUCUUUCUUCUUCUUUUCUCUUUUGAAAACCUCUUUAGACCUCUAUGCCCUCCUGGUUCUCUGUUUUUUUUUUCCUCAUCUUUUUUGCUCUUUUUUUUUUUUUAACUCCACCUCUUCUCUUUCCAGACUUCCUCCUUAAGACUUCCCUUACAUCUUCCCAUGCAACUCCAUUUUCCCACAGUCUUCUCGGGAAACCNNNNNNNNNNNNNNNNNNNNNNNNNNNNNNNNNNNNNNNNNNNNNNNNNNNNNNNNNNNNNNNNNNNNNNNNNNNNNNNNNNNNNNNNNNNNNNNNNNNNCCCCACCCCCACUUUUCCUUUUUUUCCAAGAAAUUCCUUUUUUAUUUUUCCUUUCUUUUUCCCAAAAAAAAAAAAAAAAAAAAACAAAGACAACUUUCAUCCCCACUCAUCUUGUUGGCUUCCCAAGUAUCAAUUUUGACUUUUAAUUUUUCCAUAAAACAUCUUUUUUUUUUUUUCUUCUUAUGUAGUCCACCGACUCUCAUUUUCUACCUUUUUUUUUUUUUUUUUUUUAAAAAAAAAAAGAAGUAAAUAAAGCAAUAAAAACAUAAUUCAAUAAAAAAAAAUGAAAAUAAAAUGACAUAGUAAAAACAUAAUAUAAAUAAAUAAUAAUGGUAAUAAGAAUAACAAAGAUAACGAUAAAAAUAAUAAUAAUGAUUAUAAUAAUAAUAAGGAUAAUAAUAAUAGUAAUAUUGACAAUAAUAAAAAAAACUAAUAAUACUGGUACUAAUAAUAAUAAUAAUAAUAUAAGAUUCCCAAUCACCUGAAAAUUUCUGAAAAUAAAUAAGUGGAUCAAUAAACAAAUAAAGUAGGAAAAAUAAAUAAAUACCACACGCUCGUAACAAUAAUCUAAAUAUUAAACUAAAACACAAAUAAAAAAUGAAAAUAAAAAUAGAACAUCAAGCUGAUACAAUUAAACAUCGAAAACUCAUCUUAGGCAAUCCAAAUAAAAUAAUAAAGAAAUAUCAAUCUGAAUACUCACCUAGUCUCGAAAAUUCAUCAAUCAAGAAACUGAUCUUAGAGAAUUAAGCUCACAAAAAAUAUCUAAGUGACCUGGGUGACUUAAGUGGAAAGUGCCAAGGUGAAUUAAGUGGAAACUAAACCAAGGAGGUGUCCAAGUGAUAAAAAAACAUGCCAAGUGACUUAGGAGUGUACCUAUCGGGCCAGGUGUAUCUUAAUAGGCCUAUGGUGCUAAGAAAACCAAAAACAAACCGGUUGAGCUAGUUGAUAAAAAAACUCAAAUUUUGAAAGAAUAUCCAUCGAGAAAUAAGGAAUCCAACAAAACAAAAACGGUGCGCAAUUCCGAGCUAGGAUGAGAGAGAAAUGACUAAAACAGGAUAGAGUGCUCCCGAAUUGGAUGGGCUUCAACGAGUUUUAAAUGAAUUGAAAUCUUUAUGGAGACCCUAACUCUUGACCUGUAGCAUGAUAUGAACCAAGGAAUUGGCCAUGACGGCAUUUCAUAAUGGACCAAACGUUCUUACUAAAUCGAACCAUAAGUGAACUCAUGUGAGGUUUGAAAAUCGAUUAAGCCUAAUAAGGGCUCCAUGGCCAUGACAUACAUAAAUUGGGUGUGGGUGACACCCCCAAGAUACAUGCAAGUGGCAAGGGACAAAUUGCGGGUCUACAGGUAUGAUAGUUCCUUAUUAUUUUAUAUGAUUAGGUUUGACUAGGCUAUUAAGAGUGUCUUCAUUCAAUUCCAAUAGCUUGUUAGAUUAUAAUCAUAGACUUCUCAUUCGAGAAUAUUUUUUCUUUAUAAACAUGUUAUUAGUGACUAAUGUGUGUCUUAAAAUGAUUCAUGAAUUUUCCAUAUGUGGAUAAUUUAGGAAUACAUGAAUCUAAUUACACUAUACAACUUUUGUUUUCAUUUAACUUUAUAGAAAUUUGAUAAUGUCUCUACUUCAUUUAUGGAUUUGAGUAUUUUUUAGUACUCGCCUAUUUCUUGUGAUAGUAUCUCUAUAUCUACACCCCACUCACCCACUCCACAAAUAUUUGAUAUAGAUGAUGAGAUUGCACAACCUUAUUAAGAUAGAGACUCUUUUGAUCAUGACUCAGAUCCCAUAGAUGAGAGAGUUUCACUUGCUACAGGGAAUGUUGAGACUGUUUAUUUUGGCAGAGAUGACCAACCUAGAGAGCUGAAGAUUGGUUCACCUCUAUCUAUAGAUGAGAAGAAUGGACUUAUUCAUUUACUUAGGUCAUAAUUGGAUGUCUUUUCAUAGUCUUAUGAGGACAUGCCUGGUCUUGAUUCCUCUAUAGUCCAGCACCACUUGCCUAUUCUUCCACAUGCCAGAUCGGUUAAACAGAAAUUAAGGCGAUUGCACCCACAUUGGAGUCUACAACUGAAAGAGGAGAUUCAGAAAUAGCUCAAUGUUGGAUUUAUAUCAGUAGUUGAGUAUCCAGAGUGGUUGGCUAACGUCAUCCCUGUUCCCAAAAAGGAUGGCAACGUUAGAGUUUGUGUUGACUUUAGAGACCUUAAUAAAGUCAACCCUAAAGAUAACUUUUCUCUCCCACAUAUUGAUUUGUUGGUCGAUAGCACCGCUGACCAUUCGAUGUUGUCUUGCAUGGAUGGGUUUUCAGGUUAUAAUCAGAUUUUGAUGGCUCCAAAGGAUAUGGAGAAGACAACCUUUAUUACUGAGUGGGGUACCUACUGUUACAAGGUUAUGCCAUUUGGGUUGAAAAAUGCAGAAGCCACUUAUUAGAGGGCCGCUACUACUUUAUUUCAUGAUAUGACGCAUAGGGAUGUUGAAGUUUAUGUGGAUGAUAUGAUUGUGAAAACCCGAGGCAAGAGUAGAUCACCUAGUAGUUCUAAAGAGAUUCUUUGAGAGGAUUCAUAAAUUCAAAUUGAGGCUGGAUCCCAAGAAGUGCACCUUUGGAGUGACUUCUGGGAAAUUGUUGGGGCAUAUGGUCAGUGAGCGAGGCAUAGAGGUUGACCCAGAUAAGAUCAAAGCCAUACUUGACAUGCCUGUGCCGAGGACUGAGAAAGAGAUUUAGGGUUUUCUAGGUAGGUUAUAGUAUAUCAGUCAUUUCAUAGCCAGAUUGACAGACAUAUGUGAGCCCAUCUUUUGUCUUUUGAGGAAAAACCAACCAAUAGUUUGAAAUGAUUAUUGCUAGCUUGCAUUUGAGAAGAUUAAGGAGUAUUUACUUUCUCCUCCCAUUUUAGUGCCUCCCAUGCUAGGACGUCCACUUUUAUAUUUUUCAGUUUCAAACAUGGCCUUGGGAUAUAUGCUAGCUCAACUUGAUGACUCAGGAAAGAAACGAACUAUUUACUAUCUGAGUAAGAGGAUGGUGGGGUAUGAGAUGAGAUAUGUUAUGAUUGAGCGCCUUUGUUUAGCACUAGUUUGGGCUACCAUGAUAUUGAGGCAUUACAUGAUAGAGUAUUUAGUUCAUUUGAUAUCUCGCCUAAAUCCGUUGAGAUACUUAUUUGAUAGACAUGCAUUGACUGGUAGACUGAUGAGAUGGCUCGUAUUUUUGAAAGAGUUCGAUAUUCAGUAUGUUUCUCUGAUACUCUAGUCAAUCUACCUCCAACUCUAAUCCACAAAGGCGAAUCCAUAUUGGUCAUGGUAAACCCUCUUACAAACAUGAGAACACUAGAUAAGGUGCGGUAUGAAGGAGACUCUAUAGGAACCAACUGAUAAAUGUGUAGAAAUAUAGCCCAAAUAUACUCAAUCCGAUACCCAUCUCUAAUCACACCAAAAGGAGACUACGGAGAGGAUAACUAAACCUAAUUGUGACCAAGGCAUCUCUGAAGGUCGACAAAUGCACCCACGUGUAGGAAUGAUAUCUUAAUUGGAUUUAGACUAGCUUAUAAGAUUGAGGUGGCUCUAUAAGAUAAAAUUGGUAGGUUAAAGGAUCCCUAGCAGAAGUGAUCUUACCCUUCGGCAGUACGCAACCCUCUGCACGCCUCCGGGGAGACGAGGUGCUUCCAUAUAAGGUGGUCAUCACCUCCACACAUGCACUUUCUUGCUUUCCUAGGGGGUUUCUUAAUGGUUAAGACUCUGUCAUAUCUCUACACUUAGGGUAUAAUCUAAAGUGCAUGGUGAAGGAUGUGGGUGCAUUUGAAAAAUCCUAAAUCUAAAGUGAGAUAGUAAAUAGAGACAAACAAUUAUACAAUCAUGCAGGGGCAAGGGUUUUCAUGUAACAAGUAGUCAUACCAAGCAAAUAGAUAUCAUAUAAAUAAAGUCCUAUCUAACAUAUGUGAGAGUGAAUCAUGUUGAAGUGAGCAAGCAAUCAAGUGAUCAUUCAAGGCAAUUAAACAUGUUAAGAUAGCAUAACAAACAAGAGAGCAAAUCAGAUCACCUUGCCUAAAAAAGGGGUACCCUCUAAUCGACCAAUUAAAUGCCACAUUUUCUUCAACUAGUGCUCAAGCUUGAUCCUCAAGAUCCCCAGCAAAGUUGCCAAUUUGUUGACCCGUAUUUUUCACGUGCGUCCCCACUCAAUGACAAGACUCAUUUUUAUUGGUGAAAAAUUAGUUUUGGAAAAGUUGGAGUUGCUACUUAUUUUAUUUUAUUUUAAAAGGGAAAAUAAAACAAGAAAAAAACUCUAAAGAAGUGACUCCAUAGUUUUGGUAUAGCAAGUCUUGAAAAACCUGAGUCUUGGUUCGGGGAUCAGGUUACUUAUUGGGAAGGUACCUCUAAGAAGUAGCACCCCUCUAAGCCUUAAAGAGGUUUCCAAUGACUAAGUUGAGGGAAAAGUGGCAAUUAAUAAAUUGAUUGAAAAUACCUAGGUAGACUAAAGUGAUUUUAGAAUUAACAUGACAAGCAAGAAAGUCAAAUCACGAUUAUAAAAGAGAGUCAAAGUGUGUACCUGGACUUCUUCUCAAGCGCUAUCAUAAAACAUCAAAGUUAAUGUAGAAAUAUAGUACACAACAUGCAUUUUAUCCAUGCAAGUCAAACAUACAUCUAAGCACCCAAGGAUUACAUCAAACAUGGAUAUGAUCUUCAAUAGCAUACAUGUUCAUAGAAUUUUCGAAAGUGAGUGAGAGAGAAAGAGAGCGUACCUAGGUAGCAUGCAUAAUUUAUAAGAUUCCUUAAAAAAUGCUAGAGUAGUUAGGACACGUAUAAAUUAUAUAACAUAUUCAUUAUGUCUAAUAUGCAAUACCAAAUCCAAAAUUGAGCCAAGGUAAGUCGAAUGACUCCAAAAAUAAAUAACCACUUCAAGCAAUGUACAAGAUCAUCAAUAUGCAAUUAGAAAAGGGAGCAUCACAAAACAAUUUCUAAAAAAAUAUUUUGGAGUUGAAUUUAAUUACAAAAAAUUUUAGGAAACAACAUCUACACUUCUAGAACAACAUAACAAAAAAAAAAAAAAAACAAACGCUCAUUCAAAUGAUAGAUUGCAACAAAGACACCUAAAAGUUCCAGAAGGUCCAGAUUAGGUAAAAAAAAAUAAAAAUGACAUGCAUAAACAAUUUGUUUUUUUAAAAAUAAUAAGAGAUCACAUAAAAUCAUACAAAAAAUCACACACAUCAUUCAAAGUGUCUAUAUCAUAGAAAAAAAUAAAUUUAGGGUUAGAUAGCAUUCAAAAUUAUUUCUAAAACACUCAAAUUAAUUAGAUGUCUAGAAUCCAUCUGUACAGUAGGUAUGACUUUGAAAAAUCAUAUCUCCCUCAAAAAAAUAUAUUUUUUAAUAUUUUAUAUAUCUAAGAUCAAUUUCAAGAAGUCUAGAAUUAAUAAAAAAUAUUGAAUCAAAUUUGAAAAGUCAUCUGUUAUUUUAUUUUUAGAAAAAUAUUUUGGGUGUUCAAAAUUGGGUGAAAACAGAGCCCUCCUAACAACUCAUUUAUACCUUCUAUUCCGGAAUUGUUUUCUAGCUCAAAUGAAUUUUAAAUUAAAGUUCAAUAAGUGAGAAAAAUCAUACAAGUUUUGGAAAUUUUUUUCAAAUAUUCUGAAGUUGUUUAAACAAAAUUUAAAGCUAAAGGGUCAGUGAUUGAGUGAAAACUGAUAGCAAGGAAGAGUUUUGAAAAAAUGAUUUUAUGUAGGGGUUCUACCAAUUCCCUAAUUGAUAUACACAAAUCCAGCCUAGAAUUAUCUCAUUUAUUGGGACCACAAGCUUGGAUUCAUGUCUCACUCAAAACCAUAACUUUUAUUGAAAACUGAGAAAGAUGCGAACUGAUCAAAACAUGGUUGCAUAUUAUUUAAAAAAAAUGAGAUUUUGAUUCUAAGGACUCUAAAUGAAUUUUUUUUUAAAUAUAUUUUCAAAGGGAUCCUUUGAGAAAAGUAUUUUAUUUUAAAGUAAAAUAAAUUAAUUUGAAAGCAACAAAACAUAAGAAAUGAAUUACCAAGCAAAACAAAAGAAAACAAAAUCACAAAGUAAAUUUUUUUUACAACCAAGCAAAUUGAAGUGGUGAGAAUGGAGGCCAAUCUUCAUUAUUUUCCGAUGGCCUCCGAAGAUUAAAUUUGAUAAAGAGCUUAUCAAAAUAAUAAACUAUUAAUAUUUAGAUAAAAUAAACUAACGAUAUAUCCAUAAGAAUUAACAAUUAGGGUUCAAAAAAAUGCCUAACUUGAGCAUAACAAAUCAAGAACUAGCAUAAGAUCAAUUAAACACACAAACACAUUUAAACUAAAAAAAUAAAUUAAAACUAAACUAAAUUGGAAUUAAAAACAUCAACUUUAUCUAAUAAGAUUAAUUAAACUAUCGGAUUAAAAUUACAAACACAUCUUAACUAAAAUAAAUAAAUAAAUAAGUAAAUUAAAACUAAACUAAAUCAGAAUUAAAAACAAGAUCUUUACCUAAAAGGUUUAAUUAAACAAUUGAAUUCAAAUCACAAGCACAUCCAAACUAUAGAAUAAAUUAUAACUAAACUAAAUUGAAAUAAAAACAUAUUAACUUUAUCUAACAAGAUUAAUUAGACUAAUGAAUUAAAAUCAACAACAAUUCCAAUUAAAAAAUAAAUUAUAACCAAACUAAAUCCGAAUUAAAAACAUGAAAUUUAUCUAACAUGAUUAAUUAAACUAAAGAAUUUAAACUUACAUUUUUCAAGAUUCUUCCGUGUGGUGCGACUAUAAGGCUUCUCAAUGGAUGGUGCGAAUGCAAGACUUCUUAAUGGAUGGUGCGGCUGCAAGACUCCUCAAUGGAUGGUGCGGAUGAAGCGGCUACAAGAUUCCUUAAUGGAUGGUGUGGAUGGAGCGUCUGCAAGGCUUUAAUGAUGAAUGACGACUAUGUGCUUCUAUGUUGGCGACCGAAUGGAGUCCCCUCCUGAUUUCCCAAAAUCUAUGCGUGCUCCCCUCUUUUCGAAUACAUGGUCAGCCCUCCUUAAAUGACACCUUGUUUGUGGAGAUUCUAUAUAUGUAUGCCCUCUAUGGAAAGUGCAGGCUGUUAACAUUAUUACUUCUCUUUCCACUGAGUGUUAGUGCCUUCUUUUCCCAUAUAUACGUGUUGCAGAAUCAACAUCCCACUAUAUGCGGGUUGUCUCUAUGGUAAGUUCACAUAUUCCCACAUGCAGCCCGUGAUUUUUUUUUUCAGUCUUUCCAUUGGUGGACUUUCCUUAUGUAGUCGCGUGCAUGCUCAUAUGCGUGGUGGGUAUUAUACCUUCAUGGUGCAGCCUGUGGAGAGAUCCCCUUUGGUGAUGCGAUUGAAAGUGACAGUUCCUUCAAUAGUGCGUCCUUAUCUUAGAGAUUAUCAUCUAUGGAGAUGACAGUUGUUGUGCAUGCUUUGUGGUAUGGGCUGCUCAUUUUCCCUCAAAGUAGUAGCAUCUUCGUGGAAAAUAAUAUAUCCAUGAGUGGUUAUGGCUGUAACUCCCUAAAGACAUAAAAAAAAUGGAUUGUUUCUUUGAUUAAAAAAUGUGGACUAUUACUCCCCAAAGACAUAAAAAACUGGAUUGUUUAUUUGAUUAAAAAAAUGUGGACUGUUACUUCCCAAAGACAUUAAAAAUUGGACUGUUUCUUUGAUUAAAAAAAGACUUGUUGUGCUCAAUCCUUCUUGCCCUCUAAAACUUAUUUUGAAAAUCCCAAAAUAUGUUGAAUCUUCACGUCCGAAAACCCUUGGAAUGCUCCCUCAAAAUCCAACCGGUGCAUCAUGAUCCCGAUGAAUUACAGAGAAUGAUAAUGGCGGUGAUGAUCAAUAUCAAGAGCUCGUUUAUGUGUGGCUUCGAUGAGUUUCCAUGGAUGAUCACGAUUUCUUUGACAGCCAAGGAAGAUGGAGAUCUGGUGUGGAGAGAUUCCAAUUUUCUGGCUAAGAAUUGAUUGGAAAUUCUUAAACUCCAUUGAAGAAAACAUAACAACAUCUUCGAUGUUGACUUCUCGUUCCCCAUCAAAGAAGACAACCAGAAUAGAGACCGGACGUUGGUCUCCAUCUUCUUUCCUGCACGUGAAUGGCAGCCUUGGAGACUGCUCAUUUUUUUUAUGGCUCCAAGUCUCAUGCAAAAUUCCAAAAUAAAAUUGAAAAUCAGAAAUCAUGUAAUUGGAAAUUUAAAAUUAAAAAUUAAAAUUAUGCAAUUAAAACUAAAAUAUCAAACACAUUAAAAGAAUUAAAAUCAUGAAGCUCAAGCAAUUUCCUACAAAAAUAAAUAAAUCAAUAAAGUAAAGUAAAUAUGCCUGUACUAAGAACUGAGAAAGAGAUUGGGAGUUUUCUGGGUAGGUUACAGUACAUCAGUCAUUUCAUAGCCAGAUUGACAAACAUAUGUGAGCCCAUCUUUCGUCUUUUGAGGAAGAACCAACCAACAGUUUGGAAUGAUGAUUGCCAGCUUGCAUUUGAGGAGAUUAAGGAGUAUUUGCUCUCUCCUCCUGUUUUAGUGCCUCCCAUGCUAGGACGUCCACUUCUUCUAUAUUUGUCAGUUUUAGACAUGGCCUUGGGAUGUAUGCUAGCUUAGCUUGAUGAUUCAGGGAAUGAGCGAGUUAUUUACUAUCUAAGUAAUAGGAUACUGGAGUAUGGGAUGAGAUAUGUUAUGAUUGAGAGCCUUUUCUUAGCAUUAGUUUGGGUUACCAGGAGAUUGAGGCAUUACAUGAUAGAGUAUUGAGUGCAUUUGAUAUCUCGCCUAGAUCCACUGAGAUACUUAUUUGACAGACCUGCAUUGAUUGGUAGACUGAUGAGAUGGUUUGUACUUUUGACAGAGUUCGAUAUUUUGUAUGUUUUUCAAAAGUCUAUUAAGGGAAGUAUUGUCGCCGAUCAUUUUGCCUCACUACAGACAUCUGAGGAUAGACCAGUUGAUGAUGAUUUUCCAGAUGAGGAGUUUGUUGCUAUGACUAGCUUAUCAGGAUGGUGCAUGUACUUCGAUGGUGCAACCAAUCAAUCAGGGUACGAGAUAGGUGUUCUGUUGGUAUCUCCUCAGGGUGAUCAUAUUCCGAGGUCCGUUCGUUUGGCAUUCUCUGAUCGACAUCCUAUCACGAAUAAUAUAGUUGAGUAUGAGGCUUAUAUCCUUGAUUUAUAGAUUGCAUUGGAGCUUGGCAUUAGAUAGAUGGAGGUAUUUAGUGACUCCAAUCUGGUACUUAGACAGAUUUAGGGGGAUUGGAAGACUGGGGAUGUAAAGCUUAGGCCUAAAUUAUUUGCACAUUUCCCUCAACUUAGUCAUUAGAGACCUCUUUAGGGCUUAAAAGGGUGCUACCUCUUAGAGGUACCUUCCUAAUAGGUAACUUGAUCCCCGGACCAAGACUAGGGAUUUUCAAGACUUGCUUUUCCAAAACUAUGGAGACAUUUCUUAAGGGUUUUCUUUCUUGUUUUAUUUUCCCUUUUAAAUAAAUUAAAAUAAGUGGUGACUAAAACUUUUCCAAAACUAAUUUUUCACCAAUAAAAGUGAGUCUUGCCAUUGAGUGGGGAUGCACGUAAAAAAUGCGGGUCCACAAUCUCCUAUCAUUUUCUAGAUACCUACUUAAACAUUGUGACAUAUAUAUACACCAUUGAGCACAAUUGGAGGAGUAGGCUCAAUAGUUGGAUGAGAUUAUCAAUGAACGUCAAUGCACUAUUACAUCUUUGAAAUUUGAAUUAUCCAAUCUUAGCAUAUCAAUAUUGCAAUUUUUUUCAUGGUAAGUUGAAUUUCAAGUUGCAUACACUUCACUAAUUCCUUAAGUUAGUGUUCUAGCAGUUCUUCAAGUUAGAGACACUCUAAAACAAUGUAAAUUUUUUAUUUUAAGCAUUUUAAUUUGUUAUUUUAUUGCAUAUAGGCAUGGUGUGGUAUUAUUAAAAGAUAAAAAAUUGGAUAGUAAGAAAAUAAAAAUAAUGACUCAAAUAUUGAUUUAUAUGAAUAUAUUUAAUUACUAAUAAAUAAUUUGUUUAUGGCUUUAAUGACAAUUUGGUUUUUGAUAUGCAAAAAACAACUAAGGAAGUAGAACUUGUGAGCAUAGUGUAGGCCUUCCAUUUUAUCCCUUUUGCACUUAUAAACUGAUCUUGUACUUGGUGCCCCUUUCUUUUCUUUGCUUUCUAACAUUAGUCUACAUGUAGGCUUCCCCUCUUCAUGGUUGUUUUUGUACUCUUUAGAGGUCUAGAUGAUACUAAGAUUUUAACAUUGGUUUCUUAGCCUCUUGUAGAAGCUUUUCAGUGGGAUUUUUGAGUCCACAUUACAAUUUUGAUAGCACUUAUGGAGUCCCCAAAGUUUCCUUGCUCUUCAAGCUCAAGAGGAGCUUUACUUAAGCAAGGGUGGACCACUAUUGGUUUAAGCGGUCUAGCUAACCAAUUCAACUAGUUUAGGCAACCGGUUAGACUAAUCUAUGCAUUCGAUUCAACUAAUUCAAUCGGUUGAAACUAAAGAUCCUCACUUUUUAUUUGAGUUUAUUUAUUUAUUUAUUAGGCCUUUUUGAUGGCAAAUGGAUGAUAUGUAGGUCUUGGAAGGUCACAUUUUGUUUAUAUGUUAUUUUCUUGCAUUAUAUGUCUUUUAGAUACAUGAUUAUACACUUAUAUUAAUGCUUGAAUGUUGCUUGAUCCAUGCUUGGUGUUAUUUUGUUCAAUUUUUGGGUUUAGUUUUUGUUUUUCUUUUUGUUUUUUUUCAUUAAGUUCAUUGAGCCUUGGAGUUUGAUAUGGGACUUGUAUUACUCUACCCUCUUUUUUAUUUUGUUCAAAUAUUAAGGAACACCUUUUCUAUCUGUAAAACCAAAAGUCCAAUAGGGAACACCUAGGGGAGGGGGGGUGUAUGGGUGAUUUAAAAAUUUUCAAUAAAGAUUUGUAUGUUAUAGCCAAUUCUUUUACCCUAUGAGAUGUUAGGGAUGAUCUAUUUUAUCAAUUAUAGGAAAUUCAAACAGAAUAUCAAAUAUAAACAAUGAGACAUAAGAUUUUUACGUGGAAAACUUCCACACUAACUAUGGGGAUAAAAAACCAUGAGGUCUAGGACCUACUAAUCUAAAUCCAUUAUAUGAAAUCAAGUUACACAGAUUUACUUGGUCGUUUUGCCCUAAAAGCUUAAUUUUUAGUACCUACAACUUGAUUCAUGUCUGUGAUGCAACAACCCUCGAUUGCUCCAGUAGAUCAUGUCAACCUUGCCAAAGAGAUGAAGGUCUUUAAAUCAAGAUUGAAAGAUUUAAUACUUGAAUGAGAAAUGGAGAAUGGUGUGACACUUUAAGCUUUUUCUCUAGGAAAUCCUUUCUAAAGAAUGAAAGAACAAUCUAUCUCUAAUAUCUACGAUCUUUAACCAAUCUCUAAUCCUCAAGGGGUUAAAAGAGAGAUAUUUAUAGGCAAAAACCUUAAGAGUUUUAGUUUUGGAAGGUUUUUCAAUUGAAUUUGCAUGAAAUACUCAAUAGAAUCUGCAUGACCGCUUGAGCCAACUCACUAAUCACUUAAGCACCUUAGGUGCUUGAGUGGUAUGACUACCUUGAGCACUCCAGGCCGCUUGAGUGCUUCUACUCUAUUUAAAAUUCAUUUUAAAAAUAUUUUUAAGUUCAAAACAAAACCGAUCCUUUUAAUAUCUCAACAAAACCUAAUUACCACAAGUCAAACCUCUUUAGACAUACCUAUGACUUAUCGAUUGGAAGAACAACAACUCUUGAUCUUCAAUGGAGAGCAACUCACUAUAAAAAAGACUUCUAUGGCCAAAUAUAAAAAGGAACAAAAUUACCAACAUAAAAACAAGACUCAUCCUAACAAUCUUCCCCUUUGGCAAUUUUAUGACAAAACAUCAUCACAUAAAUCCCCUCGAACUCUCAUAACAGAGUUUAUAUAACACAAAUUAACACUCAAUUAAAACUAAACUAAGGGAAUGCUUUGCAUCACUUUAUAGCACUCAUCUUUCAACCCUGUAACUUGCACACAUACAAAAAAACUAUACCAAAGGUAUAACCGUGUGAAGGAUAAGAUAUGAUUAAGAAAGCAAAACAAGAUAAUUGGAGAUUUUGCUUGAUGCCUUAUGAAAGCAUGAAAAAUGAACAAAUUCCUAUAGUGACACCAAGGUACAAAGCAAAGCAUGAGAGGAACAUAUAUGUAUGCAAAUCAACCAAACAUAAUAGAAGCUUGAUAGACACAAUAAAUCAAUAAUAAUGCUUAAAGGUCUAUCUCCAACCAGAAAAAAGAUAGUGAAAGCCAUGGGAAAAAGCUUUUAUAACUCAAAAUAGUUCUACAGAGAUAGUCAAUUUAAACAUAAAUAUCUUACAAGAAACAUCUGUUUUAGGUGUCUCUCUUAGACUUCUAAGUUAUGCUUUCAUCAGUUGAUUUGGUUUUCUCCAAUGUCUUAGGUUUAAUUUUCUCCAAUAUUUCAAUUGAUUUCCCUUAAUGUUAAAGAGUUUCUUUAUCUUUUCCCAAUUAUCUUUAUGCUUAUGUUCAUGUCUAUGCUUCCCCUAUCUCCAUAUUUAAGUGAAUUAAAUAUUCAAUGAUCUCCCAUUUUUUGUCACAAAACAGCAAAGUAAAUUAAUCGUAAACGCAAGAAAGCACACAAGAGAAAAAGAGAAAUACAAGCAUCAUAAAUAUAUCCAAAAAAUGUUUCUUGAUACAUAAUAUAAGCGAUAAAUAGAAAUCCAAAUCAAGUACACAAAAAAAUAAAUAAAUAAUCUAUGAAUUUGGUGGCGGCAAAGGGGCAAAGCUCGAAACACUCUGAGAGUUGAUCUAGGAAACAAUGGAGUCAAGUUUGUGGACCUACAUUUUUCAUGUGCGUCCCCACUUGAUGGUGAGACUCACUUUCUUUGUGAAAAAAAUGUUAUUUUUAUGAAAACUACAGUCGCCACUAAUUUUAUUUUUUUAAGGGCAAUAAAAUAAGAAACUAAAACCCUAAGAAAAAUGACUCCUUAAGUUUUGAAAAAUCAUGUAUUUGAAAAACUUGAGUCUAUAUUUAGGGAUCAGGUUACCUAUCGGAAAGGUACCUCAAAGAGGUAAUACCCCUUUAAGCCCUAAAGUGGUAGCUAAAUUGAGAGAAGUACGACAAUUAGUUUAUUGAUUGAGGAUACCAAGAAGGGUUAAGGUGAUUUUGAAAUUCUACAACACUAGCAAGUCAAGCAAGGAUUCUAAACACGAUGAUCAUAAAGAAAGAAUAGUAUGUGUACUUGAACCACAACUUGAGUGCUAUCACAAGACAUUAAAGUUAGUUUAGAUAUCAUAUCACUCAGAAUGCAUUAUCAUAUAGAUCAAUAAGCAUUCCUUGGGCUCAAGAAAUGGGGCUAUUAGGCAUGAGUACGAGUUAGUGUUGGGCUUUGUGGAGCCUAGUUUUGUUUGAUCUGGUUUGAUGACCCGACCCGAAUAAUAUUGCAUGGCUUUUUUAAUGGGAGAUUUAUUGAGGCAUGUUGGGCCCGUUUAGCCCAUUGUGGAACCACCUUUUGUAAUUAGGGUUUUUUAGUAUGGUAGGGUUGCCGUGCUAUAUAUAUAGAGAGAGAAUAUUGUAGCCACCAGGUUGUACUCUGUAUUCUUCCCUGAUAAUAGUGAUAUCCCUGCAACUCCGUGGACGUAGGCAAAUUGUCGAACCACGUAAAUAUUGUCUUGUGUGAGUGAUUGUUUUUCUUUGGCGUGUGUUUUCUCUAAUUUUUGUUUCUCACGGGUUGGGAAUUCGGUUUAAUUCCCUACAACUGGUAUCAGAGCCUAGGGUUAGGUUUGAGUGGGAGCAAUGGCAGAGGAAGCAAGAAAGGCGUCUGGAAUAGAAAAGUUUGAUGGCACAGACUUUGCGUAUUGAAGGAUGCAGAUUGAAGAUUAUCUCUAUGGGAGGAAAUUGCAUCUGCCUCUUUUGGGGACAAAACCUGAGAGUAUGAAGGCUGAGGAAUGGGCGCUUCUUGACAGACAGGUUCUAGGAGUUAUUAGGUUAACUCUGUCUAGGUCUGUUGCACACAAUGUUGUAAAGGAGAAGACCACAGCAGAUCUGAUGAAGGCUUUGUCCGGUAUGUAUGAAAAGCCAUCCGCAAACAAUAAGGUGCAUUUGAUGAAGAAAUUGUUCAAUUUGAAGAUGGCAGAGAAUGCAUCAGUAGCACAACAUCUGAAUGAAUUUAAUACAAUCACAAAUCAAUUGUCGUCUGUAGAAAUUGAUUUUGAUGAUGAGAUUCGUGCUCUGAUCGUCUUGGCUUCUUUGCCAAACAGUUGGGAGGCAAUGAGGAUGGCAGUAAGCAAUUCUACGGGAAAGGAAAAGCUCAAGUACAAUGAUAUACGAGAUUUAAUUCUGGCUGAGGAGAUUCGUCGAAGAGAUGCAGGUGAAACCUCAGGAUCUGGUUCUGCCCUAAACCUUGAGACAAGAGGUAGAGGUAAUAAUAGAAAUUCAAAUCAAGGUAGAUCAAAUUCCAGAAAUCCUAAUCGGAAUAAAAGCAAAUCUAGAUCAGGCCAACAAGUACAAUGCUGGAAUUGUGGGAAAACAGGUCACUUUAAAAGGCAAUGCAAAAGCCCUAAGAAGAAGAAUGAAGAUGAUUCUGCUAAUGCUGUAAUAGAAGAGGUACAGGAUGCAUUACUUCUUGCAGUAGACAGUCCACUUGAUGAUUGGGUUUUGGAUUUAGGAGCUUCGUUUCAUACCACUCCACACCGAGAAAUCAUACAGAAUUAUGUUGCAGGUGAUUUUGGUAAGGUGUAUUUGGCUGAUGGUUCAGCCUUGGAUGUUGUGGGUCUGGGAGAUGUCCGGAUAUUGUUGCCCAAUGGGUCUGUUUGGUUACUGGAGAAGGUUCGACAUAUUCCUGACCUGAGGAGGAAUCUGAUUUCUGUUGGACAACUUGAUGAUGAAGGACAUGCAAUACUAUUUGUUGGUGGUACUUGGAAGGUUACAAAGGGAGCUAGGGUAUUGGCUCGUGGAAAGAAGACUGACACUCUGUAUAUGACCUCAUGUCCAAGAGACACAAUUGCAGUUGUUGAUGCAAGUACUGAUACAAGCCUAUGGCAUCGCAGACUUGGUCACAUGAGUGAGAAAGGGAUGAAGAUGUUGCUGUCAAAAGGAAAACUACCAGAAUUGAAGUCCAUUGAUUUUGACAUGUGUGAAAGUUGCAUCUUAGGAAAGCAAAAAAAGGUGAGCUUCUUGAAAACUGGCAGGACACCAAAGGCUGAAAAAUUGGAACUAGUACACACUGAUUUAUGGGGGCCUUCUCCGGUUGCAUCCCUAGGAGGUUCAAGGUACUACAUCACCUUUAUUGAUGACUCAAGUAGAAAGGUAUGGGUUUAUUUUCUGAAAAAUAAAUCUGAUGUAUUUGUAACUUUUAAGAAGUGGAAGGCCAUGGUUGAGACAGAAACAGGUUUGAAAGUAAAAUGUUUGAGGUCAGAUAAUGGAGGAGAGUACAUAGAUGGAGGAUUCAGUGAGUAUUGUGUUGCACAGGGAAUUAGGAUGGAGAAGACCAUUCCUGGGACACCACAGCAGAAUGGUGUGGCUGAGCGCAUGAAUAGAAUUCUCAAUGAGCGUGCUAGAAGUAUGAGGUUGCAUGCUGGACUACCAAAAACUUUUUGGGCUGAUUCUGUUAGCACUGCAGCUUACCUGAUAAACCGAGGACCAUCAGUUCCCAUGGAGUUCAGACUUCCUGAGGAGGUUUGGAGCGGUAAAGAGGUGAAGUUUUCACAUUUAAAAGUUUUUGGUUGUAUUUCUUAUGUUCAUAUUGAUUCUGAUGCUCGUAGUAAACUUGAUGCAAAGUCAAAAAUAUGUUUUUUCAUUGGCUGUGGUGAUGAGAAAUUUGACUAUAGGUUUUGGGAUGAACAAAACAGGAAAAUCAUCAGAAGUAGAAAUGUGAUAUUUAAUGAACAGGUUAUGUACAAAGACAGGUCAUCUGUAGUGUCAGAUGUUACAGAGAUAGAUCAAAAGAAAUCUGAGUUUGUCAACUUAGAUGAAUUGACUAAAAGUACUGUCUAAAAAGGGGGUGAAGAAGAUAAGGAGAAUGUAAAUUCACAGGUAGAUCUGAGUACACCUGUAGUUGAAGUUCGCAGAUCUUCUAGGAACAUUAGACCUCCGCAGCGUUAUUCACCUGUUUUAAAUUAUCUCCUGUUGAUUGAUGGUGGUGAGCCAGAGUGUUAUGAUGAAGCCUUGCAAGAUGAGAAUUCAAGCAAGUGGGAGUUAGCCAUGAAGGAUGAGAUGGAUUCCCUAUUGGGAAAUCAGACAUGGGAACUGACUGAAUUGCCAGUAGGAAAGAAGGCUUUGCACAAUAAAUGGGUAUACAGAAUAAAGAAUGAGCAUGAUGGUAGCAAACGUUACAAGGCCAGAUUAGUUGUUAAAGGGUUCCAGCAGAAGAAGGGCAUUGACUACACAGAGAUAUUUUCUCCAGUUGUGAAGAUGUCAACAAUUAGACUUGUACUUGGAAUGGUGGAUGCAGAAAACUUACAUCUUGAGCAGUUAGAUGUGAAGACAGCAUUCCUUCAUGGUGACUUGGAGGAAGACCUUUACAUGAUUCAACCAGAAGGGUUCAUUGUUCAAGGACAAGAGAAUCUAGUCUGCAAACUGAGAAAGAGCUUAUAUGGCCUUAAACAAGCUCCUAGACAGUGGUACAAGAAGUUUGACAAUUUUAUGCAUAGAAUUGGGUUCAAGAGAUGUGAAGCUGAUCACUGUUGCUAUGUUAAGUCCUUUGACAAUUCUUACAUCAUAUUACUAUUGUAUGUGGAUGAUAUGCUUAUUGUAGGGUCUGACAUUGAGAAGAUUAAUAAUCUGAAGAAGCAAUUGUCCAAACAGUUUGGAAUGAAGGAUUUGGGAGCUGCAAAGCAAAUCCUUGGUAUGAGAAUCAUUAGAGACAAGGCUAAUGGUACAUUGAAGCUUUCACAGUCAGAGUAUGUGAAGAAAGUUCUCAGCAGGUUCAACAUGAAUGAAGCUAAACCAGUGAGCACACCCUUGGGUAGUCAUUUCAAACUAAGCAAAGAACAGUCACCAAAGACAGAAGAAGAAAGGGACCAUAUGAGCAAGGUGCCCUAUGCCUCAGCUAUUGGCAGCUUGAUGUAUGCUAUGUUGUGUACAAGGCCAGACAUUGCACAUGCAGUGGGAGUUGUGAGCAGAUUCAUGAGUAGGCCUGGAAAGCAGCAUUGGGAGGCAGUCAAGUGGAUUUUAAGAUAUCUAAAGGGUUCAUUAGAUACAUGUCUUUGCUUCACAGGUGCAAGUUUGAAACUGCAGGGUUAUGUAGAUGCUGAUUUCGCUGGUGAUAUUGAUAGUAGAAAGAGUACUACUGGGUUUGUUUUUACUCUAGGUGGUACAGCUAUAUCAUGGACUUCAAAUCUACAGAAGAUUGUUACUUUGUCUACUACAGAAGCUGAGUAUGUUGCAGCAACUGAAGCUGGAAAGGAGAUGAUUUGGCUACAUGGUUUCUUACACUACUACAAAAAUUGAAAUUAAUGACGCUUUAUUUUAUGACGCUUUCUAAAAGCGUCAUUAUUAAGGUUAUACAAUGACGCUUAUAAGAAGUGUCAUAGUUGUAUUAUUUAUCUUGAUACUUAUUAUAAGUGUCAUUAUUUGAUAUCAUCUUUUUCCUUAUAACUGUGUAUAUAAUGACGCUUAUAAGAAGCAUCAUAGUUUUAUGAUUUACCUUGAUACUUAUUAUAAGCAUCAUUAUUUGAUGGGUAUGUAAUGACGCUCCUGAUAAGUGUCAUAGUUGUAUUGACUUUUAAAAUUUUUGUUUUUAAGUUAACUUAUACAAAUUUUGAUAUUAGAAUUUUAUUCUAUAAAUUAAUUAUGGUAAAUUGACAUUAAUAUUAAUGACAUAAAGUUGCUACAUUAAGGUUUUUUAAAAAAAAUUGGAUAUAAAUAAAAUAAAAUCCUAAUAAAUUAUUUUUUAAUUAUUUGAUAUUAAUUUUUUAAAAUAUCAGUAUUCAAAUUAAACCAACAUCAACCUAAAAUAUCAAAUAAUUAAACAAUAUAAAUUCAUUAUGAGUUCAAUAUAUAAAAAUUAUUAUUGGAAGAUGAAAUAAAGAAUACUAUUUUUAAUUUAUUGAAAAAGGACAUGCAUGGUAUUUUAAAAUUUGUUAUAAAGUCUCCAUUGAAAACCCUAACUUUUGGAAGACAAGAAAGAAGGGAGAGAGCCACCGUUUUUAGUGAGAAAGAAGAGAAGAGAGAAAAACGCAAGUUUUUCUCAUCAUGCCCAGAUUUCAUCAAAGGUCCGAUCCCACUUCGUCCGUGGUCCGAUUGAGCUGAAAUUUGGAGGAGAGUUUCGUGACUCAUUUAUCUUUAAUCUGAACGGUGAAGAUCGUAUUUGGAGUUUCGGAAAGUCAUUAGAAAGAAAGAGGAAAAGAGAGAAAAACGCAGGUUUUUCUCAUCAUGCCCAGAUUUCAUCAAAUGUCCGAUCCCACUUUGUCCGUGGUCCGAUUGAGCUGAAAUUUGGAGGAGAGUUUCGUGACUCAUUUAUCUUCAAUCUGAACGGUGAAGAUCGGAUUUGGAGUUUCGGAAAGUCAUUAGAAAGAAAGAGGAGAAGAGAGAAAAACGCAGGUUUUUCUCAUCAUGCCCAAAUUUCAUCAAAUGUCCGAUCCCGCUUCGUCCGUGGUCCGAUUGAGUUGAAAUUUGAAGGAGAGGUUCAUGGCUCAUGUAUCUUCAAUAUUAACGGUGGAGAUCGGAUUUGGAGUUUCGGAGAGUCAUUAGAUAGAAAAAGGAGAAGAGAGAAAAACAACGGUUUUUUACAUCAUGCCCAGAUUUCAUCAAAGGUCCGAUGCCGCUUUGUUCAUGGUCUGAUUGAGCUGAAAUUUGGAGGAGAGGUUCAUAAGUCAUUAAUCUUAAAUUUGAACAGUGAAGAUCGGAUUUAGAGUUUUAGAAAGUCAUCUUUCAGCCAACAACAGAACCUUUAUUUUGGAUGACGCUUCCUGAAAGUGUCAUUGUUGUCUAAGACAUACAAUGACAAAGGCGAAGAGGACGCUUUAGAGAAGCGUCAUCUGUUACCUUUCUUAACGCUUAAAAAACGUCAUUGUUUCCCAUUUUUCUUGUAGUGUUAGAUGAAUUGGGUAAGAAGCAGGAGAUGGGCAUUCUACAUAGUGACAGUCAGAGUGCAAUUUUUCUUGCCAAAAAUUCGGCUUUUCAUUCAAAGUCGAAACAUAUACAAACAAAAUACCACUUUAUCCGUUAUCUUGUUGAGGAUAAACUGGUAAUACUUGAGAAGAUUUGUGGAUCUAAGAACCCUGCAGACAUGUUGACUAAGGGUGUCACUAUUGAGAAGUUGAAGCUGUGCGCAGCUUCAAUUGGUCUUCUAGCUUGAGGACAGGAGGAUGAGUUGUAGGGAUGAGGGAUCGUUUCUUGGAGGAUAGCGGUUUGAUGUUGGUGAUUGGACUAGUCUCCAAGUGGGAGAUUUGUUGGGCUUUGUGGAGCCUAGUUUUGUUUGAUCUGGUUUGACGACCCGACCCGAAUAAUAUUGCAUGGCUUUUUUAAUGGGAGAUUUAUUGAGGCCUGUUGGGCCCGUUUAGCCCAUUGUGGAACCACCUUUUGUAAUUAGGGUUUUUUAGUAUGGUAGGGUUGUCGUGCUAUAUAUAUAUAUAGAGAAUAUUGUAGCCGCCAGGUUGUACUCUGUAUUCUUCCCUGAUAAUAGUGAUAUCCCUGCAACUCCGUGGACGUAGGCAAAUUGCCGAACCACGUAAAUAUUGUCUUGUGUGUGUGAUUGUUUUUCUUUGGCGUGUGUUUUCUCUAAUUUUUGUUUCUCACGGGUUGGGAAUUCGGUUUAAUUCCCUACAGUUAGCAGGCCGAUAAGCUUCCUUCAAAUUUAAAGUAGCAGUAAGAGGGCAUGUGUAAGUAAAAGGGGUAUUUUAGUAAAUAACAACCAAAUCAACCAAUAACAACAUUUAACAUAGAAGUAUUUCACACACGAAACAUAUGUUUCUAUCAAAUUAGAAGAUUAAGAGUGGAUGGCGUACUUGAGUUUUAAGUUAAAAUGUGCUUCCAUGGAAAAGAAGGUUAGUGAACUUUUUUUGAAUCUUGUAAGCAUUUUUUCAUGUUGCAUCUUUUGAAAACAAGUUGGACAAUUGCCCUCUUGUUUCUUUUCAACUUUAUUUUCCUCAUCACCUUGUAUAGAGAAAAUUUGAACUGUAGAUGCUUGAGACAUACAUUUUGAAUCCUUUUGAAUUCGAUCUGUUGAAACUAACUUCUUGGGACUUGUAGUCACACCUCUGAACAUGAAUUUCCUUCCAUCAACAAUAAACUCCAUUCUCAAAUUCUUGAAAUCCCAUAAUAUGGGUCCCAAUUCAGCUAUCCAUUGAAUUCCCAAUACCAUAUCACAUCCACCCAAAAGUAUGAGCCUUAAAUCCACCUAAAAAUCCUUUCCUUGCAUGUUCCAUGUCAAUUGCCUACAAAUUGCAUCUCUAGUAAUUUUAGUUCCAUUUGCUACUACCACCUUCAUGGGGUUGGUAGUUUGUAUGGAGCAUCCUAUUCUUUUGGCCACUACGAGAUCAAGGAAAUUAUGGGUGCUUGCUAAGUCAAUUAUUAUAGUGAUGACCUUCUUCUUGAUGUGGCCAUGAAUUCUCAUGGAUGAGAUGUUGAACCAAAUAUUGCAUUCAUUGAAACCAUAAGAUCGUCCAACCUAAUAUUAUUUUCAGCUUCACAUGUCGCUUCCACUUCACUUUCAUGACCAUCUAAUAGAAAAAAUUACUUUCUUUUACUUUUAUGACUAGUUCAUACUUCUCAUCACAAUAAUAACAAAGUUUUUUUUUUCCAUCUCUCUUGCAUCUCUACGAUUGAAAUCCUCUUAAUGGGUGGUAAUUGACUAUUCUGAUUCAUUUUGAUUCCUAUAAAGUUCAUUGUACUCUCCCCAGUUUCGUUUAAGUCCUUAACUUCCCUGAGAAUCGUCUCCAUUUUCCCUUCCUACAAGGCUAACUUGAUGGUUUGGGCUAGUAUGUUUGGUCGAAACAUUGUGACUUGAUUUUUAAUUGCCUUUUUCAAGCCGCUAAUGAAACAUUAAACAAAAAAUUCCUCUAACAACCCACUAGUUCUAGCUAUCAAAGCUUCAAAGUACUCUUGGUAUGCCUUAACCAUAGACACUUGUUUUAAUUUGGUUAUUUGCCCAAUAGGGCUAUCAUAUACAUUAGGGCCAAACCUAGAAACAACAUCUAUAGAAAAUUGUGUCCAAUUGAUUUCCUUUGUAUUAGCCUCGUACCCUUGAAACUAUUUCAAGACGUUUCCUUCUAAAUAUAAGGAAGCCAAUCCUACCUUCUCUUGGUCCUCAAUUCCAUUAAUUUUAAAAAAUCUAUCACAUUUGUAAAUCCACCCACUAGGAUUUUCACCUUCAAAAUUUGGAAAAUUGAGUUUGGAAAACCUAGUUUGAAAGGAGUUUGUACUGUGUGAGUGAUAACCUAUCCCACUUUUAUUGAUUGAAGCAUUGUCCCCAUUACUUGAUUCCUUUAUUCUUGAGGUCAUGUGUUCAAAUUUUAGGUUUAUGGUUGUGAUCAUCUUCAAUAGUUCUGAUAAGGUGAUUGCUUGUUUAUCCGAUGAUUGCUUCAAUUGUUUAACCGUAUCUUCAAGUCUAUGUUGUUCUUACACUCUAGUCUCUUUUUCCAUGAUUAGUGUCAAGAUCGUGCUCUGCUACCAAUUCUAUGAGUCAAGGAGAAUAUACAAAUUUGAGAGAACAAUUUUUCUUAUUUAAAAUAUUUUUCCAUGUCUUUCCCAUUGCAGUCUCCCUAUUUUAUAUAAACUACUAAUAGAAAUAGAAACUGAAUAAAGUAGAAACUAAAUAAAUAAAAACUAACCCUAAAGAUGCUUUAUUCCCUACAUUAAAUAGAAACUAAUUAGGAAUUGAAACUAAAUAAAAUAUAACUAAUCCUAAGAUCCUUUAUUCCCUAAACGAAUACAAACUAAUUAGGAAUAAACCAAAGAUUUAGGGAUCGUAUGGAUCCUUUAUUCAGGUUGUAACAAGUGAGAGUUUGCAGCAGAGUGAAUGUUCCAGGCUCAUUAUUUUUUGUCUUAAUUUUGAGCUUGAAUUGUUAGGCAUGUCUGUAGUUAAUUUACCAUUCGACUGUUUUGUGAUAGUUUUCUCGUGGAUUAUUUCAUGAUUAGAACACUUUUCCAACUAAAGCCACAUCUUCUUGUUCUUUCUCUAGGGGGGAAGCAAAGAGAGAAGCUGAUGAUGAUGAUCAAGGGUGGCUUUCAAUGGACGAGGACUCAGAGGGCAAUCUUGUUUUUUAAAAGAUGUUCUCUUUCGAGUCACAAGUUUGAUUGGUUAUCUGAAUGGUGAUUUGAUUGUAAUAAGUAGUUUGAAGAUUCAAUCAGUUCUCCGUGCUAUUAGGCAAUCUCAGACAUGCUUAAAUAAAAAGAAUGAACUUGAUUUCUAAGGUUAAUGUGGUUUUUGACUGCUCAAAACCUUGAAUUAAUGUAUUUCCAAGUUACUAAUUAUGUUUUAUCAUUUGGAAACAAUUUAAUAGUAAGGUGUGUACUUUUUUUCAAUUUACUUUAAUGUGUGAUACAUGUUGGUGAGGAUGUGAAGUUCUCAUCUCACUGAGAUGAUCUCAGCCACCGAGAUUUCCCAAAAGUUCCUACUAAGUAAUCAGAAUGUUUGAUAAAAAUGCUAAUUUUUUUAAUCCAACCGGCUGAAAUUUUACAGGCUUAAUGUAGUAAUUGGAAGUACAUAAGCCUCCAUUAACGUGAGGCAUAAGAAUUUAAAGUCAAUUUUCCUUUGGGGGUGAUGAGGUGGGACAAUAGAGAUAUUGACUUUUGUCAACAUCAGACGUAAGAGUUUGAACCUAAUUGAUCAUUAGGCACAAGGUUAGGCCACCAUCAGGGGAAGAAUUCGUGGUAAUCGUGUACUACUACGAACUAAGCCUAGCACAGAUUUUGGUUUCUUGAGUGGGAAUGCUCCAUCCCCAUGUCAUAUUUGGAAGAACAGAGAUUCCUAAUGCAACUUUAAUAAGCAUCUGUCAACAAGGUAGAGUGGCUAGUUUCUCCGGCAUCUGUGCUUAAAGUCAAGGCCAUGCCUCUAGAACCUUGGUGUCUCUGACGUUUGGCUUGAAGUAGCAUCCAACAAUAGCAAAAUUUCUCUCCCUUCCGUCAUUUAUCUCAUCAUAGUAGUUGACAUAUAUUCAUUUUUGUUUGAAUCAGAUAACAUAAAACAAAGAAGAGUCUGUUUCCAAACUUCAAGUCCUGUUGGUUUGUUCAAAAUUUCAAAAUAAACCUAGUUGCCAUAUUUCUGGUUUUAGGUAUAUCAGAGCCAUAUAUAGGAGAAAGACCAGGGUUCUUCACUUUCUCCCUCAACUUUCUCUGAGAGACAUGGCCAUUUUCUCAGAACGAGCAAUUGUGCUACUCUUCUUUCUUUCUUCUCUUAUCAUCCAUGGAAGCCCAAAGCCUGACCUCUUCUACAGCCUUUGUACUGAAAAUGGCAACUAUGAACCCAAUAGCACUUACCAGUAUAACCUCAACCUCCUCCUCACUUCCCUGUCGUCAAAUGCUGCAACACUUAACGGCCGCAAAUUCCACAACCAGACGGCAGGCCAAGCGCCAGACAUGGUAUAUGGCCUCUACCUAUGCAGGGGGGAUGUCACAGACGCAGUAUGCCAGAACUGCGUCCAGACUGCAAGUCAAGAGAUUCUGACCAAGUGUCCCAACAGAAAAGAGGUAAUCAGUUGGUACGACCAGUGCAUGUUUCGGUACUCCAACCGAUCAAUCUUCUCAAUAAUGGAAGAAAGGCCAAGUGUGACUGGGUCUAACGAAUUGGAGAUGGAGGACCCAGAUAGGUUUGAUCAGAUUGUGAAUGAAACCAUGGUGGGUAUGAUUGAAAAGGCUACCUAUAAUUCUUCUGAGAGAGACAUGUUUGAGACUGGAGAAGCAAAAUUUAAUGCGUCCACCAAGAUAUAUGGUUUGGCGCAGUGCACACCAGAUUUAUCCGGCAGCGAUUGUAGGAGGUGCCUUGAAAAUAUUUUUUCUCGUAUUCCUAAUUGUUGCUAUGGGAAGCAAGGGGCCAGGAUUCUAGGACCAAGCUGCAACUUCAGGUACGAGGUGUACCCUUUCUAUGGAGACUUUGCAGCUGCUGCACCGCUUGCACCUUCACCUCUGUCACCUCCAGGUAAUAAUACAGCUUCUGAAUCUAAGCAGUAUUGGUUGAUUCGUUUCUCUACUUUCUUCGAGGCAUCUCCAUCAUAGAAGACCGCUUUUUUAGUCCUUUCUAUCAGAAAUUUUGGCAAAAUAUUUUGAACUGUGACAGUCCUGACCAUGUCUAAAAAGUAUAAAGAUUAUAGAACUUGAACAGAGACAAUGCACCAUGAAGUAGGUGAUGAUAGAAGAGAAACUACGUGAUCUCACUGUUGUAGUGUUGUGUGCAUUAAUACCACUACAGACAAAGCAUGCUACUUCAGCAUCCAUAUAUGGCCAACCCAGCAGUCAUGGUUUGCGUUUUCUUGUCCAGUCUACAAAUAUUAAAUGUAUUAAACUAGUUAAGCUUUGAAUCUUUGUUACUUCCUUCUUUACAAGCCAGAGUUCAAUAUAAAUUGACACAAAAUGGUUAUAAUUUCUCCAUUGAGCUGAUUUUUCUCAUGCAUCCAUUAAACUUAGAACUUGAGUUUGAUGGUUAGGGAAGGUCAUAUUUGCAAGCAAGACAAAAUAAAUACCUUAGAAUUCUGUUUCAUAAAAAUUGGUAAAUGUGAUUUUAGAUCUAAAUAUUUUAAAUAUGCCAGCUACAGAGCCUUCCAAGAGAUAUUUCAAAGUAGAAUUGACUGAUUUUAAGAUUUUCUAUAUCAUACUCACAUCAUGAAUGAUACUAAUAAGGGAUUAAACAAAACUACUCUUUUUUUUUCCUCUCCUACUUUUAACCAUUGGCAUGGAUUCUAAAUCUAUCCUCCCUAAGCCUGACGAUAUUUCUUCAUCUUGUAUAGGUAAAAAGGGAAACUCGUCCCGGCUUCUAAUUGUUAUCAUUGUUCCAGUUGUGGGCACAGUGAUAAUUUUUGGCUUCCUCUACUCUUGUUGGCUAAAUAGGAAGAUGAGAAAAAUCAGAACUGGUAUAUCAUUUACCCUUGGUGAAUUAAUUAAUGAUCUUUUAUACCUAUUAGCCGUACAUUUGGGGAAUUUGAAUCUAUUGUUUUACUUGUAUAUGAUGACUGUUGGGUGUUAUGGGAAAAAAAAUUACUAGUUUUUUUUUCUCUUGAAUCUGUUCUUCCAUAAGUGUACAUUGUGCAUUGAAUUGAAUUCUUGGUGUGUUGCGAAAAAGAAGGAAGCAAAAGUGACUCCACGCCAAGUGCUUUUGGGGAAGAUAGUCAAAGCAUGGACUCGACCAUGGAUUCACUACUCUUUGAUUUGAAGACACUUAGAGCUGCCACUAACAACUUCUCUGAUGCUAAUAAGAUUGGUGAAGGGGGCUUUGGAGCUGUUUACAAGGUAAGGACGCUGGUGUGUUUACAAGGCUUGAAUUGAUUUCAAGAUUAAUUAGAGUAUGCUUAACACUAACAUGGUGAAGAAUUCUCAGGGUCUACUUUCAAGUGGACUAGAGAUAGCUAUAAAAAGGCUCUCAAGAAAUUCAGGGCAAGGGACAGAAGAAUUCAAGAAUGAAAUUGCAUUACUUGCUAAACUUCAACAUAGGAAUCUUGUUCGCCUUUUGGGGUUUUGCUUGGAAGCAAAAGAGAAAAUACUCGUCUAUGAGUUUGUGCCCAAUAAAAGCCUCGACUACUUUCUAUUUGGUCCGUGUACCUUAUAUUUGCUUUCUAUAUGUGCCCAAUAAUUCAGAAAGAAGAAAAAGGCUCUGCUAUACAUCAUCAGAAUAUGUGCACACAUACACAUACUGAUGAUGUAUAGCAGAGCCUUUUUCUUCUUUCUGAAUUAUUGCACUGUGUCUGAACUCCAUCAUUAAGCUCUAAUGCUUACAUUUGUUCGAAUGAAUGAACAGAUACUGACAAACAAUCACAGUUGGAUUGGCCUACACGACACAAGAUUAUAGUGGGUAUUGCUCGAGGACUACUUUACCUGCAUGAGGAAUCUAGGUUGAAGAUCAUUCACCGUGAUCUUAAAGCUAGCAACAUAUUAUUGGACUCCAAGUUGAAUCCCAAAAUUUCUGACUUUGGCAUGGCAAGGAUUUUCUUUAUGGAGCAAAGUCAAGCAAAUACAACGAGGAUUGUAGGGACAUAGUAAGUUUCAGAAAAUUGAAUCUGUUUUACAUUUCUAAUCCAAUAACUAUACAUGCUUCCAACCCAUCAACUCCAUCAAACUCUUUCGAAAACAACGUAUAAAUUGUAAGCAUUAGAAGUGAGCAAACAAAAUUAUUCUUGAUUCCAACUUCUUCUCCCUGAUAUAUGUCUGUUGUGUAAUGCAGUGGUUACAUGUCUCCUGAGUAUGCAAUGCAUGGACAAUUUUCAGUGAAGUCAGAUGUGUUCAGUUUUGGUGUUUUGCUUCUAGAGAUACUAAGCGGCAAGAAGAAUAGUUGUUUCAACAACUCAGAGUGCAGCCAGGACCUUCUAAGCUAUGUUAAGUAUAUGCUACAUGACCCUAAAGUAGUUCUUCUGUUUUACUGUUCGAUAGUAUAGAUUUGUGCUCAAUACAUGCAUUUGAUGAAUUAUUGCAGGCUUGGAGACAGUGGAAGGAUCGAACAGCUCUGGAACUGAUAGAUCCAAUUGUGGGAGGAGAGUAUUCAAGAAGUGAAGUAAUGAGAUGCAUCCAUAUUGGGUUAUUAUGUGUUCAAGAAGAUGCAGCUGACAGACCCACAAUGGCAUCAGUAGCUCUCAUGCUAAACAGCUAUUCUGUUACUCUCCCUUUGCCUUCAAAACCCGCCUUCUUCCUUCAUUCUAAAAAGGAAUCCAAUCCAUCCACCAGCAAAUCUGUAUCGAUGUCCGUAGAUGAAGGGUCGAUCACUGAAGUGUAUCCUAGAUGAGAAUGCGAGAAGUAUGGACAAGUUUCAGGCCUGAUAAGGAGAGGGGUUUUAAGGGUGGCAGUAUAGGCCACUUCGGUGUAUGUUAAUGGACUGGUUUGUGAUUCUUGUACAUGGUGUGAGUGGAAUGUUAAGAAUACAUAUGUGCAUUUGGAGAAUUGAAGAAAAGGAGAGGAGUAAAACAGAGGACGUUGCCAAAUACAUAAGAGGAUGGAAGAAGGUGAAUGAUGUUUAAUUACUGCGUGUUAUUUCGAAUCAGUGAAUCAGCAAAUUUUCGUUUCAUUUGUUAUAAUAACCCAAAUCAAAUCACCAACUUUUUCGAAGGCUAUGCUACCAUAUCAUGUUAUUUCCAUCAUCAUAGCAUCUAUCAUUUGCAAUUUUCCUUUAUGACAGUAUUAUUUUAGUAAAGGCAAAUUGGAGUUGUAAACGAAGGUAAUCAUCCUUAUCUUCAAAUUACAUUGGUUGAAAAUUCUUAAAAACCUUCUUAUAUUUUGAUAUUAUUUUAAUAAAGGCAAAUGGAAGUUAUGAAGGAAGGAAAUUAAUAACUUUUUUUUGAGAAUUAGUUACGAGAACAUCAUCCAAAUUAUUAAAGAGGUAAUGAUGGAUUUAUUAUUAUUUAUAAAAAAUGAUUUUAUUUAUAAAAAAUUUAAGUUACCAAAUUGAUACAUAUGAAAGUUUGCAUUUCAACCUCUUAAAAUGUUUUAAAAUCUAAAUAAUUAAAUAAAAUUAUUAAUGAUAUAAACAAAUAAAAUCAAAAUACAGAGAACGAGUUAAAACUAAAAUGCUCCAUAACGAAACUCAAAUUACAUAUAGAGUAUAGCUUCAUAGGUGAUCUCUUACAAUAUAUAUGAAAUCAAUAGCAUGUAUAGUCGUGGAUUUACUUACCUCCAUUUGAUGUAUAGAGGAAGCAUAUAUACAAUGAGUCAGCGAUGUCUUGUGCCAUGUACGACGUUUUUAUGGCAUUUCAUGGAAUACAAUGAUUCUAAAGAUAUUUUAAGGCAGAGAAAUUAUUUUCAAUGUUUGGCAAAAUAGUAUAUUUUAUUGGAGACUCAGCAUUUUUCGAGUGGCCCAACAAGGACUUUGAGGGGAAAAUUUAGCAUUUAAAAAGAAGUUUUCGAAAGAAAUUGGGGCCCUCUUGCUUGUACUGCUCUCCAACAUGGUUUGGUUUGAAGUAUUAGUAAAUACAGAUACAUCGGUAUUUGAAUUUUACAGAUAUAUCAUAAAUAUAAGAGAAAUAUCUGACAAAAAAUAUUAUUAAGACGAAAAUGAUUCAAAAUUCAUAAAAAUAUUUAGAAAAAUGAUAAAAUAAAUAAAAUAUACAUGUUAGAAUUAUUUUCUAACUGUAAUUGACAUAUAUAUGGUCAAAGAAAAAAAUAUCCAUAAAGAUAAAUUAAUCUUAAUAAUUUAUUAUUUAUCUUAUCAAAUUAAUUUUAAUUUAUAAAAUAGGGCUUUGUUCAAACCAUAUGGUGUGAUGAGUGUAUGCUUAGGUGCUAACAGUUCCAUUUUCUCCAAAAUGGAGGAAGACCCGACAGAGUUUUUAUAGAUUUUGAUAAGCAGCCUGGUCACACGGAUUGUUUCUGGUUCCUCCAAAAUGUUUGCCAUGGAAAAAGUACGGGUCACGCCCUUUAACAAUACAUAUGGGUUGGUACAAUGCACUCCGUAGCUGGGGAUAAGUGUGUUUGGUGGGUUUAUUGGAAGCUUCUUUCAGGAACUAUUUUUGGGAGAGUCCGUGUUUCUCCGCCAAGGACAAUAAGUGAUUUUUUUAUUUUGUAAAAAUAUUUUUAAAAUUUUGUCAAAUAAACUCUACGAGACUUAGAAUGCAUUUACUAAUGUUAAUAUCUCAAGUGGGUUUAGUAAAACCGUUCUCCAAAAGUGUAUCAGAAAAAAAAUAGUUUAACAAGUGUUUUUUUAAGAAGUAUCAUCAAUGUUUUCAGAACCGGACCAGUUAUUGAACCAAAAAAAUUACCAGUUCAUAGUUCAUUAGUCGAAUCGGCGGUCGAACUGCGAUUGAACUAAUAAAUAUAUAAUUUAUAUAUCAUAUAAAAUUAAAAAUAAUUAUAAAAAAUUAAAAAUAUAUAAAAUUACAAAUUUUAAUAAUGUUUAAUUUUCAUAUUUGGUAUAUUAAAUUAAAUGAUAAAUUUUAAUGUUUUAAAUUUUAUUAAAUAUAAAUAUGUAAUAUUUAAGAAUGAAGAUAUAUUUAAUAUGAAAAAAUUUAUAAUAUUUAAUUUUAUCUUUUUGUCUUUGCAUUUUUGUGGACCCCGCAUUUCGUGCUCAAUGCGUUUCCCACUCGAUGACGAACUCGAUUUUUAUUUGAAAAAUUGAUUUUUAUUGAUUAUUGAAAAAUGACUUGGAGUCGCCACUUAUUUUUGUUUUAUUUUUUAAAGGGUAAACAAAAUAAGAAAGAAAAACCCUAAGCGUGACUCCUUAUUUUGGAAAAGGUGAUCUAUGAAAACCGGAUCGGGUUCGGGGGUCAGGUUACUUAUCGGGAAGGUACGACAAAAACCGUAGCACCCCUCUAAGUCCCUAAAGUCGGGUCUCUACUACUAAAAUGAAGCUGACAUGGCAAUCAAUGAGAAAAACAAUGAAUACUCAAAUCAAAUCAUGCACAUAUGAGUAUCAGAAUAUGCAAUAGAGGAUAACUGAAGUGGAAGUGGAUGCGUACCUGAUCAGCAAACGGCAACGCGCUAUCACAAAAUGAGAUUAGUGCAUAGUAAUGAACAUAAAGUAUGUCACUCAUGUCACCAAAACAGAUAAAGAAGCACCAAUAGCACGCAUGAUAUUUCAUUCAAAAUUCAUUUUUAUUUUAAAGCAAAUUUAUUUGAUGUAGGACCCCCACCAAAGCCCGUUUAUUUUUGCAUGAACUAAAUCCGUAAAUUCCAUCAUUAGGAAUUACAAAAUUUGAUUCUUGCUUAUUUUAAAACAUUUUAAAAAAACAAAAGAGAUGUGAAAAUGGCUUGCCAAGAAGAAGAGUGGCAGCAAAAUUUUAUUGGAAAAAUGGAUUUUUGGAACCUAAGAAAAAAACUAAGGAUGAAAAAUGGAUGAGUUUGAAAUUAUUUUAAAACAAACUAAGAUCUAGAAAAUUAUUUGAAGAAAGGGAUUUAAAAGAAUAUUUUUCAAAAUUAGAGAUGGUGAAAUGGGAAAAUGGCACUGUGGCCCAAAGGUGGCCAUGCACCAUGCAGAGAAUAGAGCCAUUCUGGAGGAUAACUCAUGCUACUGCCUCUUAUUUCAAUGUGGGGAACCCAAUUUGAAAGGCUAGGUCAAUUUCAGAACUUGCAGUCUUCCAGCUUCUUGACCACUUCUGAAAUUUUGGGGCCAUGAGCGGGCAAGUGUAGAGUAGAUAAUUGAGUCACUUCCCUGGUGUCAUCACUCUUCGCUUCCUUCUGUCUUGAAGCCUUCCAAUUAGCAGCCAAGGAUGAGAAUAUCUGUGACUAAUACCAACUCGGUCAACAAAGGAAACCCACAAUUCUUUAUAUGGAUCCCCUUAAUAUGCUUGAUUGUCAGCGGUCUUUCUCAAACAUUCAUGAUCAAAUUUAGUAAUAUUCAAAGGAACCCGUUUCCCUUCAGUCAUCUCCUUCUUUACAUCAUCUGAUUCAAUAGUCGAUUCACCUGGACUGCCACAAACAACCUUUUCAGUCUCGGGUUCAUGUUUUAUCCCAUUCCCUCAUCAUAUGGGUUUAAAAUGUUUGCCUUAGUAUUAUUUGUUGCUUCCUGUGAAUCCAUUGCUUCUUGCAUCACUCGCCUCGCUUUACAGCAUGUGAAGUCCUGUACUGCCACUGGAGCCCAUGCUAAACUGGUUAUGGAUGGCUUGAUGUAGUUGCUGCCGAAGAUGAGAUGAGUGAAGGGCCCCUAAGUUAAAUCCAUCAGGCCGUCCCAUAGGAAAAUGCUGAAAUUGCAUCAUAGACACAGCACUAUCACAAAGUUAUUCUUUCCGGUGAGGGUGAUUCGCGCUUGACUUUCCAGCCGGGUCUUGUAAUCAAAAACAUUUAUAAAACCUAUGACCUUAUACUGGCGUAGCAAAGCUACUAUAGUAUAGCAGUUCUAGGGUCGAACUCAGGGAUGGGUUUUCACUCUACCAAUGAUAGACUCUAAAUUAGAAAUUGAUUCUGAUGAUUUCCUUUAGCACAAACUUGAAAUUUAAAAGAAAAUAAAAUUGUUUUGAAAGUGGUGAUUUAAACUAAACUCACAUAGAACUAAGUAAAAAGUGGAAGAAAGAAAGUCUCCCGGAGCUGAAGGUUACUAGGUUCAAGUGCCAGAUGCAAAGUGGAAAAUUCCGGAUUUUUCUCCUCGCAUUGGGGAUUUAACCUAUAGUUAUUUCCCGAACCGGUAUAGGUUUGACAAUGAAGAUUUAAUCCAUAAAAAGUCAUUAGAGAUGGUAGUCAAGGUCCAUUAAUGACUUAAGACACUAUGGACUAUCACCUUGAAUCACUUUCCACUGGCUCGUACAUGAUAACUAAUGGACUGAUAUGGAUCUAGCAAUAAGCAUCCACAGAGACCUUAAGCUUACCAUGUAUUGGCCAGUCAAAGUGAUCCUAAGGGAUUUAAGGCAAAACCUUGGCUUUAAAAGCCAUUUAUGGACUCCAACCACCUGAAUUCAAUGCACGGAAACUUUCCACCUUUUAAUCUGGACUUUUCACCUAGCUUCCUUCACUCCAAGAAACUAAAUGUUUAGCCUCUCAUCCUCCGGGAAAACAUCCUCAGAGGGUGUUUGGCUUGCAAGAAAAUAGAAAAUAGAAGAGAGAAAAAAUAAACAAAAGAGAUCUCUGUAUUUCACUCAGUAUCAAAUUUUCAUUGGUCUCCUGGAGAAAACUCCCCGAAAGAUAGAUUUUCAGUGAUUACAAGAGAAUUUAUAUAGGAAGGUAAUUUUACCCUUCCUUGGAUACUUCCUAGCUAAGGAAUUACAUGAGUGGUUGAAUACAAGGAGAAAAUGGAAAUUUAAACACAAAAAUAUCAGAAGAAAAAGAGUCGGCAAAAAUAUCCAAUUUUCGCACGCUGAGUUCCAAUUUCGCAUGUUGGUUUGAGGUGUGCGAAAUUUUCGCACAGUGGACUGAGGAUUUCGCACCUUAAACAGUGGUGUGCGAAAUUGUCCCUCAGCUUGAUGCAGUUGUCUUCCGAAGUCCGUAUCUUCCUCAUUCCAGCUCCAAAUCAUACAUGGUUUGAACCAUUGGAUUCUUGACUUUCUGAGCUUCGAAAUGGUAUAUAGAAUGUAAACAAUGGACUUCGGGAAGUGCUCCAAAAGUGCACUAAAAGACUGCAGCUGUGUCCCCUGUUUUCAUCCCCUGUUUUCUUCUUCUCCAUUGUUUCUCCCUUGUAAACUUUGAACGACUAAGGCAAAGGAUUAUGAGGCUCCAUAGCUUGAUUUCUUCAAAAAUCAAAGCUUCCAAAAGCUUUGCCAUGAACUAUAAAUAGCUCCCCCUCAUUCUUAAAUUGCUUUGGUGAGCAUAAAGCUAUCAAAAAGCACCAAAACUUAACACAAUUGUUAGAAAUCUGAUUGCAAGGGUCCCUAACAUGUUAAUCGAGUUAAAAGGUAAUAAUUACUACUCAAGGGUGUUUAAAAGAGCUAAUUACAAGCUACAAAAUAGCAUGUUUUGAGUAGUAAUCAGAGGGUCCAUAGGAAAAUCAGUAUUUCUACCCUUAAAUCCUGGUAAUACAAGAAAAUCUUCAUUCUGGAUACUGAAUUCUCAGUUUUGAUGGACAACUCCAAUGCUUCGUUCCACAGAGAACCCAACUAUCCUUGAAAGCUACCAGCAGAAUUAAGGUGAGCGGUCAGUUGGGGAAAAUCAUCUGUGUCAAAAGGAACAUUCUCAUGGACACUCAAAUCCUUUAAUGAUGCCAUGGAAUUUGAAUGAUUAUUCACUGCUUGGACCUGGCUUUGAGAUCGUAGCCCUCCCACAGAAGAAUAAGAAUUUCUGGAUAUAAAUGUCACCUAGUGAAAGAACGCCACCCAUUAAUCUGCUAGUUUCUUGUGUACCCAUAUUCCCAUAUUCAUUUUGAAUUGACAUCCUGAGAAAAUGUUAACUCAAUUGGUAACAUAACUUCCUCAACAGUCUUCUCAGUCAAAUCAAAAGCCCCACUUACAUUUGUUGUCUCAUCAAGUGAAUUCACUUACUUUGCUAGCCUCUUGGCCAUGGAUGGAGACAAGUGCUUUCAAUUGAGCCCGUCUGAAUACUGCUUCAUUAUGACUAAGUACCAAGUCUAGGAUCUUCCCAAUUGGAUGGCAAGUCAUCAUUAAAAUACGGGCUAGCAAUAUAAAAUUUGCGCCUUCAGAAAGUCCAAAUCUGCUGCACAUUGCUUAUGGAAUAACCUCUCCAAAAGCUAUGACGAAAGUAACAGAAGGUACAAUAGCAGCAAAUGGAUUGAAAAGCUCAUCCAGGUAUAAUGGGAGGGCCUCUAUGGGACGCAACAUUGCAAAGAAACUGAGUCAUAAGGAUCGGAUGUUGCUUUUGAACAACUAGAGAGAUAGCAGUCACUUGCUUCUUCUUGUCAAAAUGCCACUGUGCUGAAGAAACUCAAAAUCGACGCAGCCGGGAGACAUGAAACCUAGGUGUGACCAGUCAUAAUACUGAUGAAGGGGACAAGCAAACGACAGAUCCCGACGUAGGUGAAGAACCACAAGGACCCGAAGGGGAUGUCACCUCUGCAAAGGGAUUCAGCACCGAGAUUUCUCGUUGCCAAGACGUAGGGUGAAGUCCAAUUUAGGAUCUAUAGAGGACUCCUCUUCAUUUUCUUUGGCUGAGGGCAUUGUAGUGCAAGCAGUGGCUCAAUUUUACUAUCUAACUCAUCCAUUUCUCUUGGGAUGGCUCGGGGUGCUCCGCCUCUUUUCAAAACAAGCAGCAGUGGGAUCAAUCUGACGCCUAACAGCUUCUCCAUCAAUUCGCCAACCUUAUCAUCAGAAAAAUGUCCCGGCAUGCAUGGCAUCCACUGCUCUAAUUCAAAGGAACGUGAAAGUAUCUCAACAACAUUGAAAGUUUCUCAAGAUAUCCCUUCAAAUUCAAUGCCCUUGGAGUUUUUCAAGCAUCUCAAAACUGCAUCAUAAUCCCCAAGUUUGUAGAUGUCAGCUUUUCCACCACUGUGGUUUUGCAGGUAGUGAGAUGGCGCAACAUUUGCAUGACAAUCAUUCAUUCUUUGCGUGCACUCAGCUUCCUCUUCCCUUUAUUGACUGGCUCCUUCUCUGACUGACAAGUCAAUUGAUUCACUUCUCCAGAUCAAAUGCACCAAGAUGGGCGCAAACCGGCAGCACACCAAAUUCACGUGACUGCAUGGAUUCAUAGCACGACAGACAGUAAUUUUCUAUAGAGCCCCUUUCCCUUUGAUCUCCCUACUUUCAGCAUCCUUUCUUUCUAACUGAACUUCCUCUGCUGAUGGACCAGGAUUCUCAGCAAAGAACUACUCUCAGCAUACAUCAGCGACCCUAGUUGGAACAGGAGAUGCAGCCCCGAAAUAGUAGUAACAUCGAGCUUUUCUGCGGUCACUGAUGCUAUGUGAGAGCUCAACUUCUUCUUCACAGAACUGCUCUAGCGGUUCUUUAUGGCAUUGUCCAUCCUUCCCGGCAAGAAUUUUGUCAACUCUGUCUACCUGUUUCCAUAUAUUCAGUAUGUGGUUAAAGGUGAGAAGGAUGGGUGUAAUGGUGAGUUGGUAGGAAGUAAGCAAGUUGGCAUGGUGAUGAGGGUAUUGGGGGUAUGAAGGUUAGGAAAGGGGCAUGAAGGAUAGGAGGUGUUGAAGGAUGCAGGCAUAGGGUUAAUGGUAUGGGUGAUGAAGUACAAAAACUGGGAAAGUAAUGAGAUGAAGGUGAUGAGAUGGUAUUAUUAUGAUGAGGCUUAGGAAAGAUGACAAUGGAUAAGGUGAUGAAAUAACAGAUGGGGAUGUAGGUGCAUGGUGGGCUUUAAAAAUGUGGGUAACAAUGUGAUGAAACGGGAUGUUGGAAGUAGGUAUGAGAUUAGUGAGCUGGCAGUAAAAUCAGCUUGAUGAAAAAUAAAACCAUGAUGAUCAGAAUUACAUGCCCAGCAAGGAGUUCAUGAGGAGUCACCCGCCUGGGAUGUGUCACUGAGUAACACAUGCGGCCUGCAGGCAUUGUCUUCCCUCAUGAUUUCUGAGCAAUCAUCUACCGUCCUUAUCAAAUUAAUCCCCACAGUUUACUCUCUCUUUGUUGCAUCCAUUAGAUACCUUCCCUGCUUGGCAUAUAUUUUCCUGUCUCAGACGAGUGAUAUCUCUUCCACAAAACUUACAUCUCUUAUCAUCAAACUGCUCUUCCAUACCACAACGGUCACGUCAACCCUGCUGAUUGUUCAAAUGCCAUCAAACGAACCAGAAGUUGGAGAUUCUCAACAACCAGAUCAUCUUGAGUCUGAAUGAACUAAGAAAAACUCACUGAAAGCCCUCACAUAGCUUCUUCAGGCCGGGAUGAGAAACCAGGUGCAUG
rnacentral:lncRNA from 1 species